rnacentral:rRNA from 1 species
CAUAGGUUAAUGAGGCGAACCGGGGGAACUGAAACAUCUAAGUACCCCGAGGAAAAGAAAUCAACCGAGAUUCCCCCAGUAGCGGCGAGCGAACGGGGAGCAGCCCAGAGCCUGAAUCAGUGUGUGUGUUAGUGGAAGCGUCUGGAAAGGCGCGCGAUACAGGGUGACAGCCCCGUACACAAAAAUGCACAUGCUGUGAGCUCGAUGAGUAGGGCGGGACACGUGGUAUCCUGUCUGAAUAUGGGGGGACCAUCCUCCAAGGCUAAAUACUCCUGACUGACCGAUAGUGAACCAGUACCGUGAGGGAAAGGCGAAAAGAACCCCGGCGAGGGGAGUGAAAAAGAACCUGAAACCGUGUACGUACAAGCAGUGGGAGCACGCUUAGGCGUGUGACUGCGUACCUUUUGUAUAAUGGGUCAGCGACUUAUAUUCUGUAGCAAGGUUAACCGAAUAGGGGAGCCGAAGGGAAACCGAGUCUUAACUGGGCGUUAAGUUGCAGGGUAUAGACCCGAAACCCGGUGAUCUAGCCAUGGGCAGGUUGAAGGUUGGGUAACACUAACUGGAGGACCGAACCGACUAAUGUUGAAAAAUUAGCGGAUGACUUGUGGCUGGGGGUGAAAGGCCAAUCAAACCGGGAGAUAGCUGGUUCUCCCCGAAAGCUAUUUAGGUAGCGCCUCGUGAAUUCAUCUCCGGGGGUAGAGCACUGUUUCGGCAAGGGGGUCAUCCCGACUUACCAACCCGAUGCAAACUGCGAAUACCGGAGAAUGUUAUCACGGGAGACACACGGCGGGUGCUAACGUCCGUCGUGAAGAGGGAAACAACCCAGACCGCCAGCUAAGGUCCCAAAGUCAUGGUUAAGUGGGAAACGAUGUGGGAAGGCCCAGACAGCCAGGAUGUUGGCUUAGAAGCAGCCAUCAUUUAAAGAAAGCGUAAUAGCUCACUGGUCGAGUCGGCCUGCGCGGAAGAUGUAACGGGGCUAAACCAUGCACCGAAGCUGCGGCAGCGACGCUUAUGCGUUGUUGGGUAGGGGAGCGUUCUGUAAGCCUGUGAAGGUGUGCUGUGAGGCAUGCUGGAGGUAUCAGAAGUGCGAAUGCUGACAUAAGUAACGAUAAAGCGGGUGAAAAGCCCGCUCGCCGGAAGACCAAGGGUUCCUGUCCAACGUUAAUCGGGGCAGGGUGAGUCGACCCCUAAGGCGAGGCCGAAAGGCGUAGUCGAUGGGAAACAGGUUAAUAUUCCUGUACUUGGUGUUACUGCGAAGGGGGGACGGAGAAGGCUAUGUUGGCCGGGCGACGGUUGUCCCGGUUUAAGCGUGUAGGCUGGUUUUCCAGGCAAAUCCGGAAAAUCAAGGCUGAGGCGUGAUGACGAGGCACUACGGUGCUGAAGCAACAAAUGCCCUGCUUCCAGGAAAAGCCUCUAAGCAUCAGGUAACAUCAAAUCGUACCCCAAACCGACACAGGUGGUCAGGUAGAGAAUACCAAGGCGCUUGAGAGAACUCGGGUGAAGGAACUAGGCAAAAUGGUGCCGUAACUUCGGGAGAAGGCACGCUGAUAUGUAGGUGAAGUCCCUCGCGGAUGGAGCUGAAAUCAGUCGAAGAUACCAGCUGGCUGCAACUGUUUAUUAAAAACACAGCACUGUGCAAACACGAAAGUGGACGUAUACGGUGUGACGCCUGCCCGGUGCCGGAAGGUUAAUUGAUGGGGUCAGCGCAAGCGAAGCUCUUGAUCGAAGCCCCGGUAAACGGCGGCCGUAACUAUAACGGUCCUAAGGUAGCGAAAUUCCUUGUCGGGUAAGUUCCGACCUGCACGAAUGGCGUAAUGAUGGCCAGGCUGUCUCCACCCGAGACUCAGUGAAAUUGAACUCGCUGUGAAGAUGCAGUGUACCCGCGGCAAGACGGAAAGACCCCGUGAACCUUUACUAUAGCUUGACACUGAACAUUGAGCCUUGAUGUGUAGGAUAGGUGGGAGGCUUAGAAGUGUGGACGCCAGUCUGCAUGGAGCCGACCUUGAAAUACCACCCUUUAAUGUUUGAUGUUCUAACGUUGACCCGUAAUCCGGGUUGCGGACAGUGUCUGGUGGGUAGUUUGACUGGGGCGGUCUCCUCCUAAAGAGUAACGGAGGAGCACGAAGGUUGGCUAAUCCUGGUCGGACAUCAGGAGGUUAGUGCAAUGGCAUAAGCCAGCUUGACUGCGAGCGUGACGGCGCGAGCAGGUGCGAAAGCAGGUCAUAGUGAUCCGGUGGUUCUGAAUGGAAGGGCCAUCGCUCAACGGAUAAAAGGUACUCCGGGGAUAACAGGCUGAUACCGCCCAAGAGUUCAUAUCGACGGCGGUGUUUGGCACCUCGAUGUCGGCUCAUCACAUCCUGGGGCUGAAGUAGGUCCCAAGGGUAUGGCUGUUCGCCAUUUAAAGUGGUACGCGAGCUGGGUUUAGAACGUCGUGAGACAGUUCGGUCCCUAUCUGCCGUGGGCGCUGGAGAACUGAGGGGGGCUGCUCCUAGUACGAGAGGACCGGAGUGGACGCAUCACUGGUGUUCGGGUUGUCAUGCCAAUGGCACUGCCCGGUAGCUAAAUGCGGAAGAGAUAAGUGCUGAAAGCAUCUAAGCACGAAACUUGCCCCGAGAUGAGUUCUCCCUGACUCCUUGAGAGUCCUGAAGGAACGUUGAAGACGACGACGUUGAUAGGCCGGGUGUGUAAGCGCAGCGAUGCGUUGAGCUAACCGGUACUAAUGAACCGUGAGG